rnacentral:lncRNA from 1 species
UGACAAAUCAAAAAGAAUGCAGUUCUGUCUGCUGAUUAUGCAACAGUAACUCCAGGAGGGCAGCAGCAGUAGCAGCCUCUGUGGCCUCCACUCCCAGCAGAAGGCAACAUUUCAGAACUGGCAGAGCCAAGGAAUGCACGAAACAUCCAAGGGCCGACUCGGAUAUUUGCGGAAUACGAAGACAUGACUGGUUCACAUUUAUGAAGAGGCGACGAAAAGGGGCCUCGGUGCAGCCAACAUGCAAACACACCGUUUACCUAGAUAACUUCAAUUCUCCUGAGAAAAACUGGGGAAAGAAAUAAAUGGCCAUACCUUUCCACCAUCGCUUUCUUUGAUGAUCAUGUAGGGUUCUGCACAGUCUGCAAUCUCUCCUUGCUGAAGGACCUUUUCAAUCUACCAACAAAAAUAGCAUUAAAACAAGGUCUGCAUGAGGUGGCUGCUGGGCAGAAGAGCUGUGAGCACAUGAAACAUGGCUUCUCUCCUCCCAAAGCUCACCACCAAGGCUCCGUAGAAAGAACUGAAGAGAGGCUAAGUUUCCCAUGAAUUCAACAAAUAAAGACAUGAUGGUCUUUAAAGUGAAC